GGGAAGAGUUUUGCCGAUGGACCCAAAGCUGUUUCCACGGUUACCUCAGGUCUGGGCAGUGGCACCGCAGUGGGUUCCGGGAGCCAAGGCAUCCGAGAUCUUCCCAAAGCGAGAUCUUCCCGAUCUGAUAAGAAGUCGCCUCCUUCUCACGCGGCAGCAAUGAUUCCAGUGUCUUGCCUCGGGAUGGGGGAAGCAUAGCCUUUCUUUGAAGAUCCCUGAGCCCAGCAAAGCUGCCGGCUCCACGCGUGGCCGCCGCUCUCGCCCAAGUUCUUCCCUCAGUCCUGAGACCUGAAUGGCCUCAACCAUCAGCUGUGGGGCCUCGUGUCAAAGCAGUCUGGGGCACCAUCUUCACUUCUGACUCCAGGAUACUUCUGUGUAAAGAGCAGUUUUUGAAACCACUUCCUGGAAAAACUAUUUCUGUCCCCAGAGGCCUCAGGACUCCUCCCUCUGGCUCCUUUGAGCACCUGCAGCAGGACUUCAUUCAACUGCCGCUUAGUGACGCAAUUGGAAACAUCGGUUAUAUUGCAAAGGCUUUGACCACAAUCUCAUAUGUGAGAGAGAUAUGCAUCGACUCAGAUAUGUCCAGACAGCUAUAAGGAACUAAGGUUGACUUUAUGGAGCCAAAUAAAGCCCUUUGGAAAUAUCGGCUUACAGGGUUCCCAGCAACCUUCCCAGGUGCACAAACCUCAGGAUAUUUUGGGAUCCUCGAGAAGAGAGGAAUUCAUCGAAAUCUAUAGGUAUUGCAGGCAAAAUACUUGUUUUGGCUUCUGAGCCUUGAGAGGCUAUUAAAAGUUCAGUCUGGAGGUUGCUCAUGCCCUACAGUCUGGAGCGGAACGGCUUGAUAUAAACUGAAGAGGUCACCACGAUAGCCCGUGUUUAAACUUGUUGCUGAGGCAGCCACUCAGAAAGCUUACCUGAACACCCGAUGGCGUCAUCAGAGACAUUUCAAACUGCAAAAGAUGCUUCGACCUUGACAUCUAGAAAUCUUCUUGACUGGCUGUCCCCUAGCCUCAGAAACUGGUUUAUAAUUUGCUCCAACCAUUAACCAUUGUUUUUCUUUGUUUCCAAAGAAAUGCCUCUUUUUAAAUACCUGAUUGCUUAUACCACAGACCUAACUCUGGGAGCCCACCUGCACCGCUGCCUCCUGAAAUGAGACCCAACUGUUUACUUGAACUGAUCUAUUUUCAAGACCAAAAGAUUGAUCCAGUGAAAUAAGGGAACAAUCUACCAACUCAACUUUUAAUAUGUGAAACUUCCAGGGAAGUUUCAGAGGAGGGAACUGUUGGGACCCAGGGCAGGCCACCCCAAAAUAUCCCACAAUAGCCAUACUGGAUGUUUUGAAUUAAAGUUACUUGAGAAGCAGAAAGGGAAUUCUGAUCCUCCUGUCUCUGUUCCCCCUGAAAGCAGGAAAUAAAUCUCCCACGUGAAAGGUGCUCUCCCUGCAUCCUUAUCACCAGAGCUAGGGAAGUCAGGGCCAAGAAGCCUGCAUAGACAAACCUUGCUAAUUUGCUCCCUCAAGCCUAAACUCUGCUUAAAUGCCUCACUAAUUACGUGCCUCAAAUCUAAGUUUCUUUGUCCUGUCAUUCCUCACAAAUUUAUUGUUUCUUUAUGUAUAAGAUACAUAUACUGCCUGCCACGUUCACUCGCUGAGCAUCAUUUCUCUAUGAUCUCCAGAACGUACGUAUUAAACUGGAUGUUUCUCCUGUGAAUCUGGUCUUGUGUCAGUUUCAUUCUUA